UACAGAGGUCUCAAGCGUUGUUCGGAUUCAUUGGGCGUAAAGGGUGCGUAGGCGGCGGGGUAAGUCUGAUGUGAAAUCCCGGGGCUCAACCCCGGAACUGCAUUGGAUACUGCCUUGCUUGAGUACUGGAGAGGAGACUGGAAUUUACGGUAUAGCAGUGAAAUGCGUAGAUAUCGUAAGGAAGACCAGUGGCGAAGGCGAGUCUCUGGACAGUUACUGACGCUGAGGCACGAAGGCCAGGGGAGCAAACGGG
rnacentral:rRNA from 1 species